rnacentral:rRNA from 1 species
GACGGAGGGGGCUAGCGUUGUUCGGAAUUACUGGGCGUAAAGAGCGCGUAGGCGGCUUUGCAAGUUGGAAGUGAAAGCCCGGGGCUUAACCUCGGAAUUGCUUUCAAAACUGUGAGGCUAGAGUGUAGUAGGGGAUGAUGGAAUUCCUAGUGUAGAGGUGAAAUUCUUAGAUAUUAGGAGGAACACCGGUGGCGAAGGCGGUCAUCUGGGCUACAACUGACGCUGAGGUGCGAAAGCGUGGGGAGCAAACAGG